AGUGAACGCUGGCGGUAGGCCUAACACAUGCAAGUCGAACGGCAGCACAGUAAGAGCUUGCUCUUACGGGUGGCGAGUGGCGGACGGGUGAGGAAUACAUCGGAAUCUACUUUUUCGUGGGGGAUAACGUAGGGAAACUUACGCUAAUACCGCAUACGACCUACGGGUGAAAGCAGGGGAUCUUCGGACCUUGCGCGAUUGAAUGAGCCGAUGUCGGAUUAGCUAGUUGGCGGGGUAAAGGCCCACCAAGGCGACGAUCCGUAGCUGGUCUGAGAGGAUGAUCAGCCACACUGGAACUGAGACAAGAUCCAGACUCCUACGGGAGGCGGCAGUGGGAAAUAUUGGACGAUGGGCGCAAGCCUGAUCCAGCCAUACCGCGUGGGUGAAGAAGGCCUUCGGGUUGUAAAGCCCUUUUGUUGGGAAAGAAAAGCAGCAGGUUAAUACCCCGCUGUUCUGACGGUACCCAAAGAAUAAGCACCGGCUAACUUCGUG
rnacentral:rRNA from 1 species